rnacentral:rRNA from 1 species
CAGCCGCCGCGGUAAUACGAGGGGGGCAAGCGUUGUUCGGAAUUAUUGGGCGUAAAGGGCGCGUAGGCGGUUUGACAAGUCUGAUGUGAAAUCUAUGGGCUCAACCCAUAGCCUGCAUUAGAAACUGUCGGGCUUGAGUAUGGGAGAGGUGAGUGGAAUUUCCGGUGUAGCGGUGAAAUGCGUAGAUAUCGGAAGGAACACCUGUGGCGAAAGCGGCUCACUGGACCAUAACUGACGCUGAGGCGCGAAAGCUAGGGGAGCAAACAGGAUUAGAUACCCCAGUAGUCCCUGUCUCUUAUAC